rnacentral:misc_RNA from 1 species
GAUGAAGAACGUAGCGAAAUGCGAUAAGUAGUGUGAAUUGCAGAAUUCAGUGAAUCAUCGAAUCUUUGAACGCACAUUGCGCCUUCUGGUAUUCCGGGAGGCAUGCCUGUUCGAGCGUCAUCAAAACAUUUCAAGGAUGAAUUUAUUCUUUUCUUGGUUUUGGAAUUGGAGUUGCUUGCAUCUCCCUUUCGAAAUUCAAUGGCGAAGUAGGCUGUUACAAUUAGCGUAGUAAUCAACAUUAUGUUUCGCAAUUGUGUUCGACCGCUUCUGCCGCUAAUCCCCAUAUCUAUGAAUUUGACCUCGGAUCAGGUAGGGAUACCCGCUGAACUUAAGCAUAUCAAUAAGCGGAGGGA